rnacentral:rRNA from 1 species
CCUUUUUUCUCCCGCUUUUUUCGGAUUUACUGGGCGUAAAGGGCGCGUAGGCGGCGUGACAAGUCACUUGUGAAAUCUCCGGGCUUAACUCGGAGCGGUCAAGUGAUACUGUCGUGCUAGAGUGCGGAAGGGGCUACUGGAAUUCUCGGUGUAGCGGUGAAAUGCGUAGAUAUCGAGAGGAACACCUGCGGCGAAGGCGGGUAGCUGGGCCGACACUGACGCUGAUGCGCGAAAGCCAGGGGAGCGAACGGGA